UUUGGAUUGUAUUCUCGUUUGCUGUUUCUUCUAACACGGAAAGAGCCAUUUGAGUUUGUCCUCGUGUUACUGAUUUGGCUUUCUCUAAGUGGUCCUCACAUUUCCUCACAUGUUUCUGAACGAAUUAUAAGAACACGAUAAACCGUAUUUACAGUCUUCUCUCUUAAAACUAUGAAAAUUGUCUUCUGCCAUUUAAGAUCCAGUUUCUGGAUUAAUUGCAUGAACUCAAAGGAGUUGCAAGUUGGUGAAACCUAGAGAAUCGGCUUCUGAAAGCUUCAUUUCUAAAGCAUCAAGAAUAUUAUUCUCAUUGGAAAAUUGCUGCUGAUACCCAUCAAGUGCCUGCUUUCUUCUCCAACCAGAGCAUAAAGAGUCCAUGUUUUUACCCUCUGAGCGUGCCUGUCAUGAGAUGUUCUUCACAAAUCCUUAGAGACCAUAUUCUUCAGCUCCUGACCCAAUCUUGGUAAAUAUAUUCUAAAGUGCUUUAUUGAUGUCUAUUAUUCUUUAUACUUUUACUUAGUUGG
rnacentral:lncRNA from 1 species